rnacentral:rRNA from 1 species
CUUUUACAAUGAAGAGUUUGAUCCUGGCUCAGGAUGAACGCUAGCUACAGGCUUAACACAUGCAAGUCGAGGGGCAUCAGGAAGAAAGCUUGCUUUCUUUGCUGGCGACCGGCGCACGGGUGAGUAACACGUAUCCAACCUGCCCUUUACUCGGGGAUAGCCUUUCGAAAGAAAGAUUAAUACCCGAUGGGAUAAUCAUUCCGCAUGGUUUGAUUAUUAAAGGAUUCCGGUAAAGGAUGGGGAUGCGUUCCAUUAGGUUGUUGGUGAGGUAACGGCCCACCAAGCCUUCGAUGGAUAGGGGUUCUGAGAGGAAGGUCCCCCACAUUGGAACUGAGACACGGUCCAAACUCCUACGGGAGGCAGCAGUGAGGAAUAUUGGUCAAUGGGCGCGAGCCUGAACCAGCCAAGUAGCGUGAAGGAUGACUGCCCUAUGGGUUGUAAACUUCUUUUAUAUUAGAAUAAAGUGCAGUAUGUAUACUGUUUUGUAUGUAUAAUAUGAAUAAGGAUCGGCUAACUCCGUGCCAGCAGCCGCGGUAAUACGGAGGAUCCGAGCGUUAUCCGGAUUUAUUGGGUUUAAAGGGAGCGUAGGUGGACUGGUAAGUCAGUUGUGAAAGUUUGCGGCUCAACCGUAAAAUUGCAGUUGAUACUGUCAGUCUUGAGUACAGUAGAGGUGGGCGGAAUUCGUGGUGUAGCGGUGAAAUGCUUAGAUAUCACGAAGAACUCCGAUUGCGAAGGCAGCUCACUGGACUGCAACUGACACUGAUGCUCGAAAGUGUGGGUAUCAAACAGGAUUAGAUACCCUGGUAGUCCACACAGUAAACGAUGAAUACUCGCUGUUUGCGAUAUACAGUAAGCGGCCAAGCGAAAGCAUUAAGUAUUCCACCUGGGGAGUACGCCGGCAACGGUGAAACUCAAAGGAAUUGACGGGGGCCCGCACAAGCGGAGGAACAUGUGGUUUAAUUCGAUGAUACGCGAGGAACCUUACCCGGGCUUAAAUUGCAGUGGAAUGAUGUGGAAACAUGUCAGUGAGCAAUCACCGCUGUGAAGGUGCUGCAUGGUUGUCGUCAGCUCGUGCCGUGAGGUGUCGGCUUAAGUGCCAUAACGAGCGCAACCCUUAUCUUUAGUUACUAACAGGUCAUGCUGAGGACUCUGGAGAGACUGCCGUCGUAAGAUGUGAGGAAGGUGGGGAUGACGUCAAAUCAGCACGGCCCUUACGUCCGGGGCUACACACGUGUUACAAUGGGGGGUACAGAAGGCAGCUACCUGGUGACAGGAUGCUAAUCCCAAAAGCCUCUCUCAGUUCGGAUCGAAGUCUGCAACCCGACUUCGUGAAGCUGGAUUCGCUAGUAAUCGCGCAUCAGCCACGGCGCGGUGAAUACGUUCCCGGGCCUUGUACACACCGCCCGUCAAGCCAUGGGAGCCGGGGGUACCUGAAGUACGUAACCGCAAGGAGCGUCCUAGGGUAAAACUGGUGACUGGGGCUAAGUCGUAACAAGGUAGCCGUACCGGAAGGUGCGGCUGGAACACCUCCUUUCUGGAG